UUUCUAUAUGCAAGCUAAAUUGCUUGAGGACAAGCAAUGGUUCAAGUUUAGGGGAGUUUGAUAACACCGAAAAAUGCACUAUUUAUUUAAUAAAAUUAGCUUAGCAUUUUACUAUUUUUCUGCAUUUUUCGUAGUAUUAUUACUAUUAUUUUUAUGUAUUUCAGGAAUGUCCGGAAGCUACCAAAUAAUUUAUAAGUUGCAAAAUAAAUGCUAAUAAAGAAUUG
rnacentral:lncRNA from 1 species